GCUAAGAAGAAGCACGCCGAUGAUGCAAAGGUAAGAUUCCUUCAUUUCAUCCAAAAAGUUGGUUGAAUUAUUUGGAAAUGGAGAAAUCUUACAGGCCCAGACAGCGCUCGUCAGCUCCGUUCUC
rnacentral:precursor_RNA from 14 species